AAAAAAGCAGGAUUAGAAAGAAUUUGGAGUCAGAAAUCUCUGGAUUCCAGACCAGGCUCCAUGACUUAGUAAUUGUGUGAGCUUGGUGAGUGAUUUAAACUCUCUGACCCUUGGCCUCUAUGUCUGUAAAAUGGGGCUGAACAUACCUACUGCCUAAAUAGCUAUGAAAGCUAAGCGUCCACCCACCCCUGACCCUGUGGGUGUGCUCCCAGGUACUUAACCGAGGGAGGCGAAUGUGCGUGUCCAAAAAGCACGGGCAGGGUGAUCCUGGGGGUUGGUCACAAUAGCCCCGAAAUGAAAUCAACUCUGGCGUCCAUCAGCAGAAGAAUGGCUAAAUGAGGUGUGGUAUCGCCCUGCAACGGAAUAAUACACAACAACAUAAAGAAACUGCGGAGAGACGGAUGCAGCAACAUGAAUGAAUCUGACAUGCCGUUGAGUGAGAGAAGCCAGGCGCAAAGAAUAGGGCUGCCGUGAAUGGCUGGGCAGGUUGUGCUCUGCAACAGGACACCUUUGCCACCGAAGCAAGUGGACCUGAAAUCCUUGCAACUGGGAGAGGAGCUGCAUCAGCCCACAGGGUGCUUUUUUGCAACUGUCUGCUAGGAGGGGGCACCUUUGUGUGCCGAGCAUUGUGGACUUUAAGAUGACAACAUGGUUCUUUUGGUAGGACUAGCUCAUAGUCUGUUACAGAUAGAGUCGCCUGAUAUAAUACGGGAUGCCCAGUUGCAACUGAAUUUCAGGUACACAGCAAAUACUUUUUUAAAGGUAUAAUUGUGUCCCAUGCCAUAUUGUAAUGUCUGAAUGUAAUGGGUGAGUGAAGUCUGGUCAAAUCAGACUUCCCCCCAAAUCCCCCUCAGCACAUAGGGUUCUAGGGGUCAUGAAGGAGACUGUGGGAGGCUGAAGAGAGACCAGUGUGGCUGGAGAGGAGCCUGAGAGGUAGCAGGGGCGAGGUGGCGUGGACUUGGAGGCUGGGGUUCUCUGAGACGAGGACACAGGAGGGUUGGAGCAGGGGACUCACGUUGUAACAGGCUCCCUCUGGUGGUGGUGUUGAGAAUCGUCUGGAGGGGCCCGGCCGAUGCGGGCUGACCUGUGAGGUGAUUGCAGCCAUCCAGGCCAGAUGACCAGGGCAGUGAUCGCGAAGCUGGACAGAAAUGGCUGAUUCUGGAAACAGGAACUUUUUGUUACGGAAAACAGCAAACAUGUACAGAAGUAGUGAGAAUAGUACAAGGAAUAAUACAAGGAUGUCCCCAUCACCCACUUUAACCAUCAUCAGCUCACAGCCAAUUUUGCUUCAUGCAAACCUUUCACCCCUCUUGACAACUGGAUUAUUUUGAAACAAAUCCCAGAUAUCAUAUUAUUUCAUCCAUAAAUAUGUCAGUGUAUAUCACUGAAAGAUAAGGCCUGGAUAUAUUUUGAGACAGGAGCCACCAGGAAUUUGCCCCAAGACCUCAAGCAGCUAUUAAGAGAGAGGAGGCCCCUGACCUCAUGAAACCCAUUGCGGUGCAGUUAGUUCCCCGGUCUUAAGACCACCUCUCCUAAAGCUUUCUCAUGUUUUCCUCCUCAGGCACCCUGUCUCCCAUCCUCCUGUCUGCGUGCACUCCUAGCAUGAUGCUCCUUAGGCUGGGGUCUUGGGACGCUGGCAUGGACUCCCUGUUGAAAACUCCUGCCUUUUCCCCAGACCUCACAGCAGCCCGACCUUGCCCUCUUUCUGUUGUCUUGAUAACAGGACUGUGCAGUGUCUGGAACUGAGGCUCCCUACGAACUCAGGAAAUGCAGGCACUCCGGGCGAAUGUGAGGGAAUCACGGGAAAGUCACAGAGUGAGGGACAAGGACAGAGAUUCAGACAUCAAGACCCCAGCCCUCACAGCUCCCUGGCUAAUGAGUCGAGCAGUGAUUGGUGUCAGGCCCACAGCAGGGACUCAACCAUGCAGGAAGAGUGGGAAUGUACCGCAGAGCUCCUGCCCGGGUGGCCGCCACCUCAUCCGUUCAGAGUUUGUGGAGUACUUCCUGCCUGGCAGGAUUAAAGGUACAUCCUGUCCACAUAAUUUAUCAUGGUUGAUGUUGGCCUUGAUCACCUGGCUCACAUAGCGUCUGUCAGGUGACUCCCCUGUAAAGUUUCUCUUUUCCCCGUCCCAUCCUGCACUCUUUGGAAGGAAGUCACUAUGCACAGCCCACACUUAAGGGUUGGGGGCUUAUGUUCUCCUUCCUCGAGGGGGGAGUAUCUACCUAAAUUAUUUGGAAAUUCUUCUUCCACCAGAGAGUUGUCUUGUCUUCCUUGUUUAUUUAUUUAGUCAAUCAUUCAUUUAUAGCCCUAUGGACUCAUGGAUAUAUGUUUUAUACUUUGGGUUAUAAUGCAGUACUUCUUUAUUUGGUUGGUUGCUUACCUUGUUCCAGCUCUGACCAUUCUUUUUUUUUUUUUUUUUUUCGCGGUACGCAGGCCUCUCACUGUUGUGGCCUCUCCCAUUGCGGAGCACAGGCUCCGGACGCACAGGCUCAGCGGCCAUGGCUCACGGGCCCAGCCACUCCGUGGCAUGUGGGAUCUUCCCGGACCGGGGCACGAACCCGUGUCCCCUGUAUCAGCAGGCGGACUCUCAA